rnacentral:lncRNA from 1 species
GCUUCUGCAGUCCCAGCUCCAGGUGAAGAAGGCAGCUCUCACUCAAGCCAAGAGCCAAAGGACAAAGCAAAGUACAGUCCUCGCUCCAGUCAUCGACCUGAAGCGAGGAGGCUCCUCAGAUGACCGACAGAUCGUAGACACGCCACCUCAUGUGGCAGCUGGGCUGAAGGUAAGCCGUACCCACCUGUGGUUUGAAGCAUUUUCCACGUUUCUUUAUUUUACAUGUAUGUUCCUCUCUUUAUGAGAUUUAUCUCAUGUGUGUGUGUGUGUGCGCGUGUGUGUGCGUGUGCGCGCGCGAGUGCUUGAGCGUGCUUGCUCACUCAUGCACACACCCAUGGAGGCCAGAGGAGGCCUUAGAUCUCUUA